CCAACGGUUGGGUCUGAAGGAAGUCAUAGGAAGUAUAUGGCAGAUAACGAAAGUGAACCUGCUUCGGUAUGGUAGAUGGGUAAGCGUGCAAAAUAGCGCAAAGCCCAAUACUUAGUCAAAUCUAUUAUGUGUUUGAGGAUGGAGUCAUAUACAGGGCGUC
rnacentral:ncRNA from 1 species